UUAUAUAUAUAUAUAUAUAUAUAUAUAUAUAUAAUUCAACCAAAAACACAGGCUGUAUGUAGCUGAGGUAAAAAUAAUGUUAGAGAAGGAAAUAGAACAAGGAUAUCCUGAACAAUUUAAAAUAUUUGCAACUCUAGAUGUUUUCAUUAAGUGGCAAUUUUUUUGCUGAAAUUGUGGACAAAUGCAUGCAAGUCAAAAUACAAUAAAAGCUUUUUUUUGAGGGGCCAAAACACACAGUAAGAUGAUAAUGACUCAUCAGGUAACUGCAAAAAAUACUGAAAAUAUGUGCAGACAUAUGUACAUAUGGACAUGAUCCUGAUCUUAUCUUUAUUUAGUCAGUGCUGUUUGAAUUCUAUGAAUUUUCAAUAUUUUUGCAAAACAAAAUCCCUAAACCUUUAGCACAAAAAAGCAAAAUACAUAAGAAGACCCAAAUCAAUUAAAUAAAACACAUUUUUGGGCUUAAAGGAAUUGUGGUUCAUUCCUCCAUUAAAAAAGAUUAAGAUUAGGACUUUGACUUAAAUAUUCCAAGAAAAUAAUGUUAUUAUUAUUUAAUAACAUUAAAGAAGUUUAGUAGAAGCUUAGUAGAAUUAUGUUUACAAUAUUUUUUUAAGGUCAUUGUCUUCCUGCAUGACCCACAUUACUUUAAGAUUCAGGUCACAGACAGAUGUUCUUAUAUCUUACUUCAGAAUUUGCUGGUAUAACAUAUAAGUAAUUGUUCCAUGAGUGAAACAUGGUGCAUAUGCAACAAAACAAAUACAAACCAUGAUACUACCACCACCAUGUUUCACAGGUGAAAUAUGUUUUUUUUAUGCAGGAAUGUAGUGUUUUUUCUUUCUCCAAAUAUAACAUUACAUAAUAUCUGGUUUGUAUGUCUGUAAGCCAAAAGGAUUACAUGUGUAAUGUAAAUUGUUUAACCAUUUAGGACAGACAGCCGCUACAACAGCAAAUCCUUUGGGUAAUUCACCAGGGACUUCUAACACAACAAAUCCUUCAGGAGGAUCUGGAUUUUCUCCUACAGCAGUGGAAGCUAAAGUAGGAUCUACAUCAGCGCCACUUGCAACAAGUCCUCCAGAAAAUAAAUCUGCAUCCUCUACAACACAGAGUCCUCCAGGAACAUCUGCAUCUUCUGCAACACAUAGUCCUGCAGGAAAAGCUGCAUCAGCGUCUCCUGCAAUACAGAAUCCUCCAGGAAAAUCUGCAUCUGCAUCUCCUACAACACAGAAAACUCCAGAAGGAUCUGCACUGCCACCUGCAGUAGGAGGACGAUCUGCAUCAGGGUCUAAGGCAACACAGACGCUUCCAGAAGAAUCUGCAGGCAAAUCAGCUGCAACAGUGGAGCCUAAAGCAACACAACCUGCAAAGCCGUCUCCCCCAACAGGGAUACCUAAAAGUGGAAAAUCUGAUGAUAAUAUCACUAACGAGACUGGAAAAAUGCAUGGAUCAGCUGGCGAAUCUUCUUCAACUCCAAAACCAGAUACUCCUGAUAAUAAGAAAUACUUUUGGAUUUUGUUGCCUGUGGGAGUUGCUUUCCUGGCUGUGGCAAUGUACUUCAGGUACAAAUUCUUCAAAGUCCACCAUCAUCCAGAGACAACAGAUAAUGGAACUGAGAAUGCUUCAUUCCAAAGGACGGAAAGUAACAGAGACGGGGUCACGCUGCUGGGAGUGAAAUCGUCAGGCACUGAGGAGGGCGCUGCUGCAUAAUAAGCAGGAUGAGGAAGUGAGAGACAAGAAGCGAAAGAAGCAGAUGAUGGAAGAUGAAGACCACCAGCCUUGCUUUUGUUUGUUUGGGAUGGGAUGAAUUGGAACAGUAUAUUUUGGGUUUAGUAUGUUUAAUUUGUAUGCAGUGAAUUGGAGCUUGGGUUAAUAUGAACUCUGUACAAAAUAAAGCUGAAUGAAGGAGCUUUGUUUUUAUCCAAUAUUUCCAGAAAAAAGACAUUAAUUCUUUUACAGUCUUCAUCAUCAUCCUAAAGCGAAUGCAUUUAUUUGCUCAUUUCUUCUUUAUAUUUUUGUCUUUCAAAAAUGCACACAAUCUAGUUCUACUUAUCAAAAAGUCAGGAUUUUAACACAACAGUAACACUCAUUUA
ensembl:lncRNA